ensembl:lncRNA
UACAUUGUUAGAUCUGUUUGGUGAACUAUGGUUCACCUACUGGUGAAUGUGGUCAGGAUUCAUUUAGAAGUGUUCAGAAACAUCCUCUAUUCUUACACACACCGGCAGGUUUUGCAAUUGUGGUUGGUGAUGGUAUUAUCACAGUUGGUGGUGUUGUUUUUGUACUUAAUGCUGGUGUUGAUUCAGUAGUUAAUGUAUUUGUGGGUGCAGUAGAGUCUACAGCAGAGAAGUAACAGAUUGUUAGGUCUGUUUGGUGAAGACCGCUUUAGACAGGUUUUGUUAUACAGAAGUUGAUGACACUUACCAGUGUCUGUGGUCGGUUGUGUUGUGGGGUCAACUGUAGUGGUCUGAUUUGUUGUAGCUGCAGGUGUAGUAAAGUCUACCAAGAGAGAAGUAACAUAGUGAUAAACUAAAGAAGCAGAUUAACAGAAACUCAUAAUGACUCAGAAAGUAUUAUUUGAUGGCCUUUAAAAGCACUUAGCCUGGUCACUGUGGUCAGUUCUGUUGUGACAGAUAGUGACAACAAAAAUGCCAUUUUGUUCUGAACUAAAAUAUGUUAGCAGUCAUACUGGUAACUGUGGUCAGUUGUGUUGUGGGGUCAGCUGUAGUACUUUGUCCUGUUGUGGGGGGAGUUGUUGUAGAGUCUACAGAAGGGAAGAAACAUGGUGAUUGAAUGUCAGAUCGUUUGGUGGUGAACUCUGCUUCAGACAAGUUUUGUUCUCCAGAACUUGAUGAAACUUACUGGUAACUUUGGUCAUUUGUUCUGUAGUGCUGGCCUCAGGUGUAGUAGAUUCUAAAUUAGAGAGAGAGAGAGAGAGAGAGAGAGAGAGAGAGAGAGAGAGAGAGAGAGAGAGAGAGAGAGAGAGAGAGAGAGAGAGAGAGAGAGAGACAGACAGACAGACAGACAGACAGACAGACAGACAGACAGACAGACAGACAGACAGACAGACAGACAGACAGACAGACAGACAGACAGACAGACAGACAGACAGACAGACAGACAGACAGACAGACAGACAGACAGACAGACAGACAGACAGACAGACAGAGAGCGAGGGAGCGAGGGAGAGAUUGUGACAAACGUGAAGACCCGAAUUUCAGAACAAAUUAUUUUUACGAGUACUUGAUUGUAUUUACUGGUAACUGUGAUCAGUUGUGUUGUGUUAUCAACUGUAGUUAUUUGUUCUGUAGUGCUGGCCUCGGGUGUUGUAGAGUCUAAAGCAGAGAGAGAGAGAAAGAGACUGUGACAAAUAUGUGAUGAACUGAAGAUCAGAACAAAUCAUUUUCAGCAGUUAAUGACUGUAUUUCCAGGUAACUGUGGUAAAU